rnacentral:rRNA from 1 species
UACGUAGGGCGCAAGCGUUGUCCGGAAUUAUUGGGCGUAAAGAGCUCGUAGGCGGUCUGUUGCGUCGGGAGUGAAAACCCGGGGCUCAACCCCGGGCCUGCUUUCGAUACGGGCAGACUAGAGUGUGGUAGGGGAGACUGGAAUUCCUGGUGUAGCGGUGAAAUGCGCAGAUAUCAGGAGGAACACCGGUGGCGAAGGCGGGUCUCUGGGCCACUACUGACGCUGAGGAGCGAAAGCGUGGGGAGCGAACAGG